GGUAAAUAUUAAAAAUAUGUUGAUGUAGCGUCCUAUCUUUCUCUGGUUGCUGACAUAGUGCAAAGAGUGGGUGCUGACAUAGUGCAAAGAGAAGAGAGACAUUUUUUUUGUUUUUAUGCUAUUACUGGUGUGUUAUUUUUUAUUAAAAAAAAAUCAGUGGUGUUGAAUUAUUUGAUUGAGUUGUAAGUAGCUCAUGAUUAAGAGAGAAUGUGUGUAGUUUUGUGUAUUUUUAUAUCUUGCUCUCUUUUUCAAACUGAUUUUAAACAUAUCUUCAUUAUAGAUUAAUUCUUUAGUGUGGUUAUUCAUCCUUUCUUGUCAAAUUUUUGAUUUUGAUGGACAAGAAAAUUAAAAGUUUGUAGACACUCACAUAUUUUAUUUUUUAGACCUCAUUUGAUGAGACAUGAGGAAAAAUCAUAAAUGGAUUAUCAUAAUUUAAGUUUUUAUGAAUUUCCACUCUGUAUUUUAAAUUUAUAUAUUUUGUCAAUUAUAUUUUAAGAUUUCAUAUAAAUUAUUUUUCAGGGGAACGUCCUAUUAUAAAUUUGGUUUAAUUUAAAAUUUACUACUGAUUAAAAUAUAUAUUAUUAAAUACUAUUUUAAUAUAUUUGGUUUGGGUAAGAAGAAAAUCAUAAAUUUAAAUAUUUUGUAAAUAUUAAACAUGUGCUAACGUUCUUUUUUUUCGCUUGCUGAUGUAAGAUGAAGUUUUAUUUAAGUAUAUACUAGAUCUUGACCAGUGCGUUCGCACGGGUAUUUUCUUUUGUAAACAUUUAAAAUUAAAUAUAUAUACAUUAUUGUAUUAAUUAAAUUAGAAGAGACUAAUUAAUUAAAUAUAGCUGAGUUAUUUUUAUUAUUCUAAAAUUUAAACGAUUUUGAUUAAUUUAAUUUUCAAUAAACCAAUAAAUUAAUCUGAUAAUUUAAUCUAUUAUAUAGUUUUUUUAUGGAUUGCAAAAUUGAAUUUUUGAUUUUGAUUUAAAUUAAAUGAAGGAUUGCAUAUCUUCUAAAUUUAUUAGGUAGCUAAAUAUUAGGCAAUUUCGUAACAAUUUUUAUGAAAAUUGCUAUUUAUAAGGUCAAUGGCAUUGGAUAGUAAUUAUUGAGGAAAACUUAGGGUUAAGAUUUAUUUGUAUUUCAGUUUUAAUAGUUUAGAUAAAUUAUAUGUUAUUUGACAUGAAUAAGAGGAGAAAAUUAGCUGGUCAAUUAAUAAAUUUGUAUUAUGUGGCCGAACGUGAUUUUUAUGAGUAAAAUACGAUUAACGGUUAGCAUUCGAGCAGUUUUUAACCCAGUUCGGAAAUAUGCUAGGCGCUAGUCGGGCGGAAAUUCCGGACCUAGUGAGUUACCAAUAAAUCUGAGAUUAGGCGGGAUAUACACAGAUACUAGUUGAAUUGUUAUUUUAUUUUAUUAUAAUAUUUAAAUUAAAUAUAAAAUAUAAAUUUAUUAGAAUUUAAUAGUUUUUUGUAAGUUAUUAUUGAUUUUUUUUUUUAAAUUUAAUUUUUAGCAUAAAAUUAAAACACAAAUUAAUUUAGACUAUUUUUGGAUUUUUAUUAUAUGUAUGUGUAUAUAUAUAUAUUAACAUAUGCGUACGAGAGCAAAGAAUUCCAGGUUUCCUAAUGGCCAAGGCAUAUGCUCUUACUCUGAAAAACCUGGGUUCGACGCCUCCUAUCUACAUUUUAAUUAUUUCUCAUUAUUACUAUCAAGAUGGACAAAAGUCUCAUAUCGCUACAUACGAAAGAGAUGUCAAAUCUCACUAUAUCUAUCUAUCUAUAUAUAUAAACGAGAAUACUUUCUUCAUAUAGAGUGCCACGUCAUCAAUAAGGGGAUGGCAAAUGAGGACACAUGUCAAUCCAUUUAACCUAUCAAAGGCUAAAAGUUUAUUCCUCCGUUUAGUCGCCGUCGUUUCUCUCUGCCUUCACCUCUUUGUCUUUUCCACUAAUUCCGCCACUAACUUCAGCCAUUAUUGACGUCUUCAAAAAGUGACAAGAUUGUCGAUCUCUCUUCGACUCCCCCUCUGAUUGUCGAUCAUUCUAUAUAAUUAUACACUGUGAUCUGGUUCGAGGAACAAAAUAAAGGCAUCUUCUGGGUGAAAAGCAAGCUUGGAUCCCUAAAUUAAUAGUGAUUUGAAAAACAAAAACUCGGAAUACAGCUUCAUGGUUGAGCUGCCCACUAAGCGGAUAGACCACAAUAGUCGCCAUCUCCGAUUUAACAAUGAAAAAGAACAACGGCUCCUUCAGCUGAGAAGCAGAAACAGAGACAACCACCGUUCUGCAAAAAAAAAUCUCCGGUUGCCGGAAAAAAACAAACGGAAUAACUAAUCAGAGAGGCUUGCAUCCGUCGGCUCAGAAGAUACAUUUCACAACGAACAGAGUUCAAGCAGAGGAGAUGGCGAAGAGGACACACUUGCUUUACAGGCAUGGACUCUUCAUCUGUUGCGUUUAGUUCUAAUGGUUACACUGCCUUGAAUAGUUUAGCUCGAAGCUUGAACCGGUUGCAUCCGGGUAAAUUCAUGUUAAGUCACAGAUUAACUAUUGUUAUUAAGCAAAUGUUUAUGAAUAGGUUAUAGAUUCAGGAAUCUUAAGUUAUAAGUACUACAUUUAAAAAAAAUUACAUGUCUCUCUGUUUUUAGAUUUGAUCACUUUAGUUCUUGGGAAUGAUUUCAGAAUCUAAUUUUUACAAUGAUAUUAUAAUAGUUUUGUUUCUCUUAUUAUUCUUAUGACCAGGAAGUUGAGGUUAGGAAUCAACAAUGGUGGUCCGGUUUUGGUUUGUUAAGAGAGAAAGUAAUACUUUUUGUAAGUACUAUGUGAGACCGCAUAUAGGAAGAUAAAAAUAAGAUCGGGGCCAUGGCCCAUGAUUGAGUUAUGUCUUGGAGUAAUGUUUGUGUAGAGUUAGAAGAGAGCAUCUUCAUCAAGUGUGGUUUGUUUUAUUAAACAUUUGGUGGUUGAGACUGCAUUCUUCAAGUCUUAUCUUAUUGCCCUUUUUCUUAAUAACAUAUGCUUCUAUAGUAACUGUUUCUAUUUGUUGUCCCCGUAAAUAUUUGUGUUGUCAUCAUCAUUGGUUUGUUGACUUUAAUAGGGGUUUAUAGCAACAACUAGGUUUUACCUUCAGUUCUCCUAUUAAUCGAAUCAAUAUAUGUUUAUUUAGGAUCAAGCCGAAAUUUUUUAUUUUUAACUUUCUAACUAUCACUUAACGGUUAGUUCUUUACCUAAACCCAUGAUUCUUAACCAAUGUAUGGAACUACUAUAACAUUUAUGUAUGCAUCUUCAGUCACAGUCGGACAGCAAACAUGAAGCUGCCAACGCGUAUGAAGCUUCUAAAUGCUACAAGAAACUGAACCCAAAUGAUAUGGGGUUAUGUAGUGUGUUCAGAACGAGAACAAAUUGAGGUAUAUGUAAGUUGCGUCUAAGAUCAUGUUUCACAGUGGUUUGACAAGACAUGAACCCAGAUCUCUACUCUCAGUCUUAUUGAGCAGUAUCCCUCAACAUCAUGAAGUGAACCAGGAACUCACAGUCUCAAGGAGCCAACAUAACCAAACUGAUAAGGAUGAAAGAAGCCAAUCAUCAUCAAGUCUGGAAGAAGUUAACUUUAGGAAGGUCAACAAGUAGGGCCGCCAGAGGCUAAAUGGAUUACUAACACAGUUAUGAAGCAACACAAAAGUAGAUUCUGAAGCCGGUGCAAGCGGGAGAUAUUUUGCUGGCUGGAAAAAGCUUCAUAUUUCAAUGCACGAAUAGGGAAUGUUAAUAGAUCGCCCCCGUCAAAGUAUAAUUGAGCUGGCGUUGUUGAUGGAAGAGAUGAGGAGGAGAAGUAGGCAUCAUAAUAUUAGAGAUGAUAUUAUGUAAGGUACCAAAUGUAUCAAGUUUUAGAUUCUAUGAUAAAAAGAUCUAUCAUCUUGGUAUUAAAAAGUUUUAUGACAUGUACGAAUGUAUAACCCUCAUGUUAAUUUUAUUUUCGGGAGAAUAUGUACAAACGUUUCAUCUUA